rnacentral:ncRNA from 2 species
UUCUUAUCAAGAGUGGCGGAGGGACUGGCCCUUUGAAGCCCGGCAACCGAUAUGCAACGCGGUGCUAAAUCCAGCAGGGCAAAGCUGCUCUGGGAGAUGAGAA